rnacentral:rRNA from 1 species
ACGCUCGACACCUACGGGAGCAGCAGUAGGGAAUUUUCGGCAAUGGCGAAAGCCUGACCGAGCAACGCCGCGUGAAGGAAGAAGUCAUUCGUGAUGUAAAACUUCUAGUUAUAAAGGAAGAACGGCGCCUGUAGGGAAUGACAGGCGAGUGACGGUACUUUAUGAGGAAGCCACGGCUAACUACGUGUCAGCAGCCGCGGUAAUCUGAGCGGGCUGGCAAGGC